AUGAGAAAUCAGAGAGAUGAGGAGAGGGGCAAAAUACUGAAGACAAAACAUGAGAAAAAUCAGCAGAAAGAAGCAGAAUCACAAGGGAAACAGGGCUCUUUGGACUUGUCUCCACUACGCCAGGGAUUGAUGCUGCAGUGGUCUAUCCACCAGCCAUCAAUUUAUUGUGUCUGCUUCGACGUGAUAAAUCAAUCUCCGAACAUUCUCCCUUUGACAAUGGCAUUCUGUCAGAAUGAGAAGAUUAGCCAGCAUUGACGGGACCUUACCACACAUAAGAUGGGACUUAGUAAAGGCAAGGCCUUAGAAAAAGAGAACAGGGUCAUUUUAAAUGUAUUGAAUGUGGAGGUAUCCAUCUGCACAGUGGUAGUGUAGUCAACGAGGAACUGACCCAGAUAACUCCGUCUGAGGACAUAUGCACAUUGGACAAGACUGAAGAAAUGAAACAACCAGAUCUACAAUGAAAUGAUCAAGCACUUAAGAAAGCCAGCACCCUCAAGUUUCUCUUGAUUAAAGAACACAAAAAGAUCUAACUUAGUCAGAAUGUCUUCUAGUCCAGAUUUCUAUUUAUUGCCUACCUCACUGAGAAAGACAAGAUUUUCUCACUCAGACCUUUCGGCGUAAACUCCUUCCCUUAAAAUUCUCUGAGCGGGAAUCCUUACAAGAUCUUAGAUGAUGCAGCUAUUUCUAUUCAAGACAAUUCCUUCGUCUGAUUGAGAAAAAGUGAAGUGUGGAGACGAGAGGGGAUUGGAAAUGGAAGAAAAGAGAACUUGACAAAGGAAGAAAACACAAGAAUUCCUCAUCCACUCCUUGCUAUUCACCAUGUGCUGGAGAUAGAGUUUGAAUAUUGUCUACCUCCUGCAUGCUUCCAACAAAGCAAACACAAAGAUUCCCACAACUGUGAGCUGGAGAAUAUUAAUGUCAGGCCUCUUUGGUUGUAACCUCCCCACUUCUUCCCCCACUUCUCUUUGCUUUGAGCUCCUUUCUGCUGUUUGCAACUGGGCUGUCCAUCUGCAGCACUACACACAACUUGUGCUGAAAGUAAACACUUGACUAAACAUAUGCCAAGAAUACAUAAAACUGGAAGGUUUGUUAAGGCUCUCAAACUCAUCUUUUCUUGUCCUAUUAGAUUACAAGGACCUGAUCCCCCAG